UGGGGAAUAUUGCACAAUGGGCGCAAGCCUGAUGCAGCCAUGCCGCGUGUAUGAAGAAGGCCUUCGGGUUGUAAAGUACUUUCAGUCGGGAGGAAGGUGGUAAGGUUAAUAACCUUAUCAAUUGACGUUACCGACAGAAGAAGCACCGGCUAACUCCGUGCCAGCAGCCGCGGUAAUACGGAGGGUGCAAGCGUUAAUCGGAAUUACUGGGCGUAAAGCGCACGCAGGCGGUCUGUCAAGUCGGAUGUGAAAUCCCCGGGCUCAACCUGGGAACUGCAUUCGAAACUGGCAGGCUAGAGUCUUGUAGAGGGGGAUAGAAUUCCAGGUGUAGCGGUGAAAUGCGUAGAGAUCUGGAGGAAUACCGGUGGCGAAGGCGGCCCCCUGGACAAAGACUGACGCUCAGGUGCGAAAGCGUGGGGAGCAAACAGG
rnacentral:rRNA from 1 species